UUUGAUGAGCUCAAAGCAUUUGAGUAUAUCUUAUGUUAUACUAAUAAAUUCAAUCUAGUGUUUCAGGCAAAUAUUUGUGAAUUUAUGUUUAAGUAUCUCUAGCUUUGGUUCGAUAUAUUUUGGCUAAGCAUGGAACUCAGUUUGAACCAAAGUUUGAAGCUCGAGUGGACUCCGGAAGAUUACGAGUCGACUCCAAGUGUUUCAGAAGUUCUGGCACAUGCUCGAGUCGACUCUGGUACACUACGAGUCGACUCCGAU
rnacentral:lncRNA from 1 species